UAGGGAAUCUUCGGCAAUGGACGGAAGUCUGACCGAGCAACGCCGCGUGAGUGAAGAAGGUUUUCGGAUCGUAAAGCUCUGUUGUAAGAGAAGAACGAGUGUGAGAGUGGAAAGUUCACACUGUGACGGUAUCUUACCAGAAAGGGACGGCUAACUACGUGCCAGCAGCCGCGGUAAUACGUAGGUCCCGAGCGUUGUCCGGAUUUAUUGGGCGUAAAGCGAGCGCAGGCGGUUAGAUAAGUCUGAAGUUAAAGGCUGUGGCUUAACCAUAGUAGGCUUUGGAAACUGUUUAAUUUGAGUGCAAGAGGGGAGAGUGGAAUUCCAUGUGUAGCGGUGAAAUGCGUAGAUAUAUGGAGGAACACCGGUGGCGAAAGCGGCUCUCUGGCUUGUAACUGACGCUGAGGCUCGAAAGCGUGGGGAGCAAACAGGAUUAGAUACCCUGGUGGUCCACGCUGUAAACGAUGAGUGCUAGGUGUUAGACCCUUUCCGGGGUUUAGUGCCGUAGCUAACGCAUUAAGCACUCCGCCUGGGGAGUACGACCGCAAGGUUG
rnacentral:rRNA from 1 species